CAGAAGGGGAGCAACCCGAGGCGGGAUACCGUAGAAGCGUCCGACGAAAGCUGCAGCUUCAGUCCGAUCCGAGCCCCCGUCACAAGGCUACUGUGGAAUAUCAAGCCUGGCCGCUAGCAGCAGUUACACGCUCUAGCUACGAUAAUUCACAUUCUGCCCAGGUUUGUGACUUAAGUUUUUCCAAACGAAACACGACAUUAAGAACUUUUUUUUAAGCCUGUACACGCAGCGGGUAUUUUAAUUAUGAUGGUUUUUCUUUCUUUCUUUUUUUAACUCGCGACAUGCACGAGGAUUUGUAUUGACGCUGGCAGUUCUGGAGCGCCGCCGACAUCUCAUAGCGAAUGUGCGGGAGCUGUCAGAAUGACCGGAAGGCCUCUCCACCACGGUGAACCCCGGUGUUCUUCCUCAAAAUGCCGCCCAGCCAACACCAAACCACAAAUUAAACAGAGUGGGUAUUUUUAUAGUCCACAACAGGAUUACUAAAGAAUUCAUGUAUGUGUACUUCUGUCUCUGUAAUAACGAUAUGGCCAAGCGCAUACAUUCUUCUCCUGAUCAAACUUUGCAGGCUACCUGCAAAGUUCGAUGUCAGUCAAAAUGGGGCUUCCCUGUUAAACAAACGAUAAAUACGUUUUU